rnacentral:rRNA from 1 species
GAUGAACGCUGGCGGCGUGCCUAAUACAUGCAAGUCGAGCGAACAGACGAGGAGCUUGCUCCUCUGACGUUAGCGGCGGACGGGUGAGUAACACGUGGAUAACCUACCUAUAAGACUGGGAUAACUUCGGGAAACCGGAGCUAAUACCGGAUAAUAUAUUGAACCGCAUGGUUCAAUAGUGAAAGACGGUUUUGCUGUCACUUAUAGAUGGUUCCGCGCCGCAUUAGCUAGUUGGUAAGGUAACGGCUUACCAAGGCAACGAGGCGUAGCCGACCUGAGAGGGUGAUCGGCCACACUGGAACGGAGACACGGUCCAGACUCCUACGGGAGGCAGCAGUAGGGAAUCUUCCGCAAUGGGCGAAAGCUUGACGGAGCAACGCCGCGUGAGUGAUGAAGGUCUUCGGAUCGUAAAACUCUGUUAUUAGGGAAGAACAAAUGUGUAAGUAACUAUGCACGUCUUGACGGUACCUAAUCAGAAAGCCACGGCUAACUACGUG